rnacentral:lncRNA from 1 species
GCUUCCUCCAUGGGAGGACAGAGUGAGAAAACACCAUCGAUGAAUCAGGAGGUGGACCCUCACUAGAUACCAAACCUGUUGGCACCUUGAUCUUGGACUUCCCCGCUUCCAGAACUGUGAGCAUGCUGGACUUGUGUUCCCUGGAGACAGGGCCAUGAUCUUCUCUCCCAUGUGUCAAAUCAGACAAUGGACACUGAAACACUGCGCUGGGGCCUCAGGAGGAGGAUGAGGAACAGGAUAGGGGGACACCCACCUCUCUCUGCCCAGGACGACUCAGGGGUGUGCCUCCUAGCAGCUGUGAAAACACUAAAGGAUUUACAACAUUCCCGCUUAUGUGGGAUUUGGAUUCAUUUCCACAGCUCUACCUAUGAGUAAGAGAAUCUAUUCAGCAACAUGACAUCACGGAAUGGCAAGAGUGACAGCUGCAGAGGUGCCAGAUGUUGUCCCAUCUCUGUCUCACUGUGCUCUGGCCUUCUCUGGCCUCUCCUUUCUAACCCACCAACCCUGUCUGGCUGGGAUAUAGGCCUGGUUCAUAAGUCCCCUCUGCUAUACUCCACCUUUGCCUCAGGUCUCUCAUCCCUUUGCCUUCUGCCCGCCACCCACCUGGAUUGGAAGCCCACCGUGGGGGUUGUCUCUUGGCUGCUGAGCGCUCAGCAGGGCCCCUGUGGUCAGCAAAUGGGUGAUGUGGGAGUGCAGAUGACACACCCUGGUUGGGUUCUUUCCGUGAGAAAGUGGCAUUGGGUAUUUCUAAAAUGACUGUGGUUUUCUUAAAUUUUCUAACCACAAAAAUGUUAUGAGUUUCUCACCGUGGCAGAUCAAAUAGAAAUAUGAUUCAUGCUUCACAAUUUGUGUAGCCAAUAUCAUAGAUAUUUGGUAGUUCUAUUAUGUAUCUGACAGGUACAUAUAUUUUUUUCCUCUAAGAGAUUGUUCUGUGUGAAUAGAUAGAAACUACUUAAAUACAGUAAAGUCUAUUUAUUACAGACCAAGAGCAAACAGUUUACUAAAUGGAAAAAUGCUGAAGUCAUUUCUAUUAAUUCAAGAUCAAGACAGAGUGCCCAUUGUCAUCACUAUUGAUCUACACAGCAUUGGUGGGUUUAACUAAUAACAAUAAGAUGAAAAUGAAUUGAUUGGAAUAAGCAUUGGAAAUGAAGACAGAAAUGUCUUUAUUUGCAGAUGAUUGAGAGUAUACCUAGACAACCUAUAGAUCCUAAUAAAAUAAUAUUAAAAUUAGUAAGAGAAUUUAGUAAGGUAGAUAGGUAGAUAAAUAUAUAAAUAUAAAGCUUUGGUUUAUGGUAACAAUAAACAUUUGAGAAGGGAAAUGAAAAAAAAUAGCCUAUUCAUAAUAACAGCAGGCACUCACUAUACAAUUCCUAAGGAUGCAUUUAACAAGAAAAGGUAAACUAUUUACAGAAGUAAAAUGAUACAAUCGUAUUGAAGGACAUUUUAAAAAAAACCCUCAGCAAAUGGAUAUGUACAAGCCAUGCUUCUGUAUGGAAAGAUGUAACAUCAAAAAAUACCAGUUCUUAAAAAACUAAUGUAUUAAAUUUAAGACAUUACUAUAUAAAUUUAAUGCAAUUGCAGUUAGAAUUUUACUUCUAAGAACCGGAUAAAGUAAUUUUAGAUUCUAUGUAGAUAAAAUAAUUGUAAAGUAAAUGUAAAAUAACUAUACAUUUCAAAUGUUCAGAGAAAAAUAGUGAAGAAAAUGCGAAUGCAUGGGGACCAGUUCUAGUAUAGACAAUAAAACUCAGACUCAAGCAACCAAUACCAAAACAGUAUGUUGCUGGCACCGGAUCUGGCCAAUGUAUUAAGGAAACAGACCUGAGAGCCCAGAAAUAGAUGAGUAGAGAAAUCUAAAAUAUGAUGAUGGCAUUUUCAGUCAGAGAGAAAGGGUGGUUCCAGCAAUUGUUCAGGUACAACUGUUUAUCCAACUUUAAGAAAAACAAACAGAGAUUCUACUUUAACCAUAUGUAGAAACAAAUUCUAGGUGAUUUAAAGAUUUACUUGUCAAAAUAAGACAUUAACAUAUUAGGACAGAAUUUAGGGGUCUAUUUAUAUAAUCAUAGAGGGAGGGAGCACUCUUUCCUUCCCUUCCCUUCCCUUCCCUUCCCUUCCCUUCCCUCCCUCCCUCCCUCUCUCUUUCUCUCUUUCUCUCUUUCCUUCUCUCUCUCUCUUUCUUUCCUUCUUUCUUUCUUUCUUUCUUUCUUUCUUUCUUUCUUUCUUUCUCUCUUUCUUUCUUUCCUUCUUUCUUUUUUUUUUUUUUAAAUAGAGUUUUGCUCUUGUUGCCCAGACUGGAGUACAAUGGUGUGAUCUCAGCUCAACGCAACCUCCACCUCCUGGGUUCAAGUGAUUCUCGUGCCUCAGCCUCCUGAGUAGCUUGGAUUACAGGCCUCUGCCACCACACCUGGCUAAUUUUGUAUUUUUAGUAGAGGUGGGGUUUCUCCAUGUUGGUCAGGCUGGUCUUGAACUCCCGACCUCAAGUGAUCUGCCUACCUCAAACUCCCAAAGUGCUGGGAUUACAGGCGUGAGCCACCGCGCCCAGCCAGAAGGAGCACUUUCUAAACAAGCUAGAAAUCCCAGAAGCCAUCAACAAAGGGGGAGAUAUAUGUUGACUACAUGAAAAUUAAACAUUUUAUAAGAGAAGGAUCCAUGAGCAAAAUCAAAGAGCAAACAACAGACUAGGAAAUGUAUUUCCAACACACAAUCAAUCUCUUAAACCAUUGAAAAACUAUGAAUUAAUUAUACUUUUAAAAGAUAAAUUUAAAUUGUAGCAAGAAAAUGCUAAAGGACUAUGAGCUGCUAAUUUGCAGAAGAAGCAAUCCAAGCACCCAGAAAACACAUGAAAGGAGACUCAGAGAACAGAAAUUCAACAAAUGAGGCAACAGGGCCACCUAAGGUUUUAGGGUGACCAACUUGUCCUUGUUUGCCCAGGAGUCUCCUAGUUUUGAAACUCCUUAGUCCUGGGCAAACUGAGAUGGUUGCCCUUGACAGAAGAAAGAAAAGCCUGAAUCAGGUAUUUGAACUUUGAAUGGACCAAGAGUGUACUCAAUGAGAUUGAGUUAACCCCAAAAGACUUAAACCCCAGAAAGAGACUAAGUGGACUUCAAUGAGCAGCUUUGUGUUUUCUUACCAUUAAGGGAUUAGGGGCUCCAGGAUGAGGUGGCAGCAAUUCUAGGCAGUAAAGAAAGUUACUGACAUGGCUGGAAAGUUUGUAUACAAAGGUGGUUUAGGGUCAUGUGGGGGCUGAAACCUAGCUCAUGCUCUGCUUGUCGAGCUGUGUGUCCUGGUGUGGGGCUGAGCCCGUCUGGACCAAGGGAUGCCCUUGACUCUGCACACAGGUGUGCAUGGGUUAGAGGGACCCUAGUGAUGGCCGUCCUGUCAUCUGGGCUUGGUAGAGCCCAGGCCCAAAGCAUGGUGACACUCAGAGGACACACUCCUGCAUGGUCCAAGGCAGUGUUUCAGGGAAGAAUCUGUCUGGGUGGAGGCCUGGUGGGCUGGAGGGCUUGGAGGUGUCUGUGAGGUUGCCCUGCAGGCCCUGACCUCUCAGAGAUUGUACUGAGGGAGUGCCAGUCCUCCUGGUUGUCUGACUGGCUGUGCCCCCACUGCCACCCUCUCAGCCUACAGCCUCUUGCUCUUCACUCAGCCAGCUCCACAGGAACCUUUUUACAUUCUGAGCUCAGCAGUUCUUCUUCCCCACAGCCAGGCCCCUGGCCCCCUCCUCCCUGUAGCCUUCCUUGCCUGGGCUCUGAGAACCUGCCCUGACUGCAGACUGGGGUCUUUGUUAAUCUAGAUGAGGGCCCGGGGGCUGAGCUUCAGGUCUCAGAAUGUGCUUUCUAAGGUGGCCACCUUGAGACCUCCCAUCCCAUAAGCUCUUCUUACAAUGUGUUGUUGACUUUCCUCCCAUUGAGAGGUGGGGGUGCCUUUGAAUUUGGGAGGGACUAUGUCAUACAACUAUGACAAAAGUGACUGUCUUCAUCUGUUUUCUAUUGUUAUAACAGAAUAACACAGACUUGGUGAUUUUUUUUUUUUUUGAGACAGGGUCUUGCUCUGUUGCCCAGACUGGAGUGCAGUGGUUUGAUCUCGACUCACUGCAACCUCCAUCUCCUGGGUUCAAGUGAUCCUCCCACUUUAGCCUCUGGAGUCACUGGGACUACUAUGUGCACAACACCACACCCAGCUAAUUUCUGUAUUUUUUGUAGAGAUGGGGUUUCACCGUGUUGUCCAGGCUGUUCUCAAACUCCUGGGCUCAAGUGAUGCACCCACCUCAGCAUCCCAAAGUGCUAGGAUUACAGACAUGAGCCACCACUGUGCCCACCCCAGACUGGGUGAUUUAUAAAGAAAAUAAGGGGUUUUUUUGGGCUCAUGGAGGCUGGGAAACCCAAGAGCAUGGCACUGGCAUCUGGUGAGGGCUUUCUUGCUGCAGCAUCUCGUGGUGGAAGGACAAGUGAACAUGACAGACAGAGAAUGGAGGCUAAACUUAAGCUUUUUAUCAGGAGUCUACUCCCAUGAUAACUAACCUGCUCCCACAAUAAUGGCCUGAAUGCAUUCAUUAGAAUGGUGUCCCUGUGACUUACUCACCUCUUAAAGGCUCCGUAUCUUAAUACUGUUACAGUGUCAAUUAAAUCUCAACAUGAGCUUAGUAGAGGUCAAACAUUCAAACUCCAGCAGUGACAUUAUGUGAGGCUCAUUCCUAAAAGGCAAUACAGCUUCUGCCUGGUUCUCUUGGGACACCUGCUCUUGGAAUCCAGCUACCAUGCUGUGAGGAAGCCCAAGCCUCCUGGAGAGGCCAUGUGUGGCUCUUCUGACUGAGCUGACAACCAGAUUGGUUAUGGAAACUUCUGAGAUGGCUCCAGCCCCAAUUAACCUCGAUUGUGUAAGAAACAUCUAGCUGAACCCAUUCAACCGCCAGAACUGUGAGAGGUGAUAAUAAAAAUAUUGCUCAUGUUUUAAGCCACCGUGUUUUGGGAUGAUUUGUAAACAGCAAUAGAUAAUUGGUGCCACAAUUCUGGCAGCAGAGCACUAAGACCAAAACCCUGUUAUAAGCUUCUGCUCUGAUCAUUUAACCCCUACCACUUUCCUGGGUGAUCAGCCAUUUGUUCAACUUGCAUUGGGUGAGCAUUCGCCUCAUGCCAGGCUCUGUGUCACACUGAGGGCCCAGUGAGGGGUGAACAAACAGACUUGGUGCUGGCAUUCAGAGAAGGGACAUCUGUUACUCGGGAGACCCUCAUUCCCCUUAUCUCAUGAAGUGAAGGGGAUCUGGUCCCACCUGGCUUCUUCCCUCUUCCUUUCCCUGCAGCCAGGCUGGGCCUGGAGUGUCCUAGCACAUGUCACUCUAGUGACUGAAUUCUGGACAUUAUUAUUGGCUUCCUGUGAGAACCGAAGCAGGGGCCCUUGAGGGAUAAGAUCAGAUGAACAGGUUUAAACCAAAAGGGAGACAAAGCCACCCCAAACUGAGAGGCAGGAUGGAGUACAGGGAGACGUCCAGAAAGCAGGGACCUAAUCUAGGAUGGGGAGAUUUGAAAGACAGGAAGGAGGGUCUGUGCUGGUGGUUGGCAUUGUUGGGGCGCCAAGGGGGUCACUCAGGGUGGUGUCUCUCAUGUGGCCUUUGGUUCUUUCUCCAGAGAAGCACUCAGGCGAGGAGGCUGGGUCAUGUUUCAGGGUUGUUAAAAAUACAGCAGUAACUCACUGAGUGCCGCCUUCUAUGGGGUUGGCCUGGGGAGCUGUAAAGUAUAAAGGGAAACCUCUUCCCCAGGUGCAAGGACCUGCUGCUGGCAGUUGAUGGAGCAACUGUGGGAGUGGUGAUUGGCUGCUUUGAGGAGGCCCAAGAAGUGAGCUGCCACCUCACAACUCCAGGGGCUGGGCAAGGAUGAGAGAGUCUCAGAUUCAUUGCUGGGGCUUGGAGUCUAAGGGGCAUGGAGGGAUGUAGUAGUCAGCUAGAGCUGCCAUAAUAAAGCACCAGAAACAGGAUGGCUUACACAACAGAAAUGUAUUUUCUCAUCGUUCUGCAGACCAGAAGUCCAAGAUCAAGGGGUCAGCAGGAUUGUUCCUCCUGAGGGUUAGGAGGGAGAAUCUGCUCUAGGCCUCUCUCCUGGUUUCUAGUGUUUGCCAGCAAUCUUUGCCAUUUCUUGGUUUGUAAAAGCAUCACCUGAUUUCUGCCUUGGUCUUCAGGUGAUGUUCUCCCUGUCUGCAUGUUUGUGUCUAAAUUUCCCCUUUUUAUAAGGACAUCAGUCAUAUUGGAUUAGGACUCACCCUUCUCCAGUAUUACUGCAUCUUAACUUGAUUACUUCUGUAAAGAUUUCUUCUCCAAGUGAAGUCACAUUCUGAGGUACUGGUUAGGACUCCAGUGUAUGGCUUUGAAGGGACACAAUUCACCCAUAACAUGAGACGAUAAUGUCAACCAGGCACCUAGUUCUAUAGCUGACUUCUUGAUCUCAGGUAAUGUGCUCAACAACUCUGUGAUAAAAAUACUAUACAUUUUUUUCUAAUUAUUUAUUAUAAAAUUUUAAAAACAUACAGCAGUCACUACUAAAAAUACAAAAAAUUAGCUGGGUGUGGUGGUGGGUGUCUGUAGUCCCAGCUACUCGGGAGGCUGAGGCAGGAGAAUGGCGUGAAUCUGGGAGACAGAGCUUGCAGUGAGCUGAGAUUGCACCACUGCACUCCAGCCUGGGCGACAGAGCAAGACUCUGUCUCAAAAAAAAAAAACAAAAAAAACCCAAACAUACAGCAAAGCUGAAAGAAUUUUACAGUGAGCACCCUUCCCAUAUGCCCACUAGCUACAUUCUACUAUUGACAUUUUACCUUAUUUGCCUUGUCACAUAAUCUGUCCAUCUAUUCAUCCUCAAUCCACCCAUUAAUCCACCUUAUUUUCUGGUGCAUUUCAAAGUAAAUUGCAAACAUCAAUACGUUUUUCCCUAAAGUUAGCAGUCAAUCAUUAACUAGAGUUCAAUAUUUUCUUUACAGAUUUUUCUUCUGAGGUACAAUGAAGUGCUCAAAUCUUAAGUAUACAUUUAUUGAGUUUUAAGGAAAGCAAACAGCUGUGUAAUCCAAAUGCCUAGCAAGAUAUAGAACAUUACCAUCACCAUGGAAAUUUCCCUCAUGUCCUUUCCCAAUCUCUGCCUCCACCCCUCAGAGGCAACCACCAGUCGAUUUUUCCACUGUAGCUUAGUUUUGCCUGUUCUAGAACUUCAUAAAAAGUGGAAUCAGAUGCAAUUUACUCAUUCAUUUAAGGCUUCUUCCACUGAUCGUCAUGUUGUCAAGCUUCAUCCGUGCUGAAUGAAUGUUGUAGUGUGUAUCUGUAAUUCAUUGCUCCUUAUUGCUGAGUAGUAUCUCAUUGUAUGGACGUGCCACACUUCUCCUGAUGAGCCUCUGGGCUGUUUUCAGCUCUCGGCUACUGCAAAUAAGUAUGUAUUUGCAUCUCCAUUUUAGGGAUAACGAAGUGAUGCUCAGGAAGUUUAAGUGGCUUGUUGAAGGUCAUAUGGGUCAUGAGGGGCAGAACCAAGAUUUGAACUCAGCCAGAUUGGUCAGAUGCCAGAGCCUAAAGCAUUUUCUUUUUAAUUCCUUUGUGAUAUGUUUGCUUUCCGUGGUGUGGGGUGGCCUGGGAAGUAAAGUAUACCAUGGGAUGUGUAUUUUACCUUCAUCUGACUGAUUUGCAUUAUAGUCAGGCAGUCUGCAAUUGCAAGAGUGGUUUUGAGUCCCUGCUUCACCAUUUACCAGCCGUGUGACCCUGGGCACAUGACUAAACUUGCUUCUGUCUCUGCUUCCUGAUCUGUACAAUGGGGAGAUAACAGCAUACAUAGGGUUGUUGUGAGGGUUAAAUAACGAAUUAAUAUAUGAAAGCCCAGUGACUGUGCCAGGCAUAUGGUAAGUGCCAUAUGAAUGUGAGAUAUUUGACAAUUAUCUCUUGAGCACUAUCUCCAGGCCACAUCCAUGUGCUAAGUAUACAAGGAUGACUAACGCAUUGUAUCGGGCCCACCUUGUCUGCACCUUUCAUCCUCUGGAUAGAUCCCUCUUUUCCUGUGGCCAUUGGUGAGGCCAUCAGCUUCAAGCAGGUAUACCUGUCGGCAUCUUGCCUUGUUGUUCCCUCCUCUCUAUGAGGAACUGCCAUACCCUUCUCCACCGCGGCUGCGCCACUUCACAUCCCAGCAACAGUGCACAGGGGUUCCAGUGUCUCCACAUGCUUGCCAACAUGUCUCCCUCCUUUCCUCCCUCAUUCCCUCCCUCCCUUCCUUCCUUCCUUCUUUCUUUCCUUCCUU